GAUGAACGCUGGCGGCGUGCCUAAUACAUGCAAGUCGAGCGAACAGACGAGGAGCUUGCUCCUCUGACGUUAGCGGCGGACGGGUGAGUAACACGUGGAUAACCUACCUAUAAGACUGGGAUAACUUCGGGAAACCGGAGCUAAUACCGGAUAAUAUAUUGAACCGCAUGGUUCAAUAGUGAAAGACGGUUUUGCUGUCACUUAUAGAUGGAUCCGCGCCGCAUUAGCUAGUUGGUAAGGUAACGGCUUACCAAGGCAACGAUGCGUAGCCGACCUGAGAGGGUGAUCGGCCACACUGGAACUGAGACACGAUCCAGACUCCUACGGGAGGCAGCAGUAGGGAAUCUUCCGCAAUGGGCGAAAGCCUGACGGAGCAACGCCGCGUGAAUGAUGAAGGUCUUCGGAUCGUAAAACUCUGUUAUUAGGGAAGAACAAAUGUGUAAGUAACUAUGCACGUCUUGACGGUACCUAAUCAGAAAGCCACGGCUAACUACGUG
rnacentral:rRNA from 1 species